UUACUAAGCGGGAAACUAAAAUCGAUUAUUUCGCCCAACACUUAGCCAAAAAAUUAGACAUUUCACCUUCACACUCAAUUUCCCCUCUUUCCUUCCAAAAAACCUAAGACUCGAAAAAACCUAAGACAAAACCAUCCUGAGACAUAACUCUCUGAAACCCACAAAUCGAUUCUCCCAGUCACUAAUUAAACUCGCCGGCCGCCAUCGUUAAAGGUAGCCGUGACACUGAAUCUCUUGCUCUUUCCUUUAACCAUGAUCCCCUUUCUCCAUCUCCAAAGAAUCAAACCCCAGAUCUUUGUCUUCGUCGAUGACCAGCCCAGAUUUUGAAGCUCCACUUUUUCUCAUCGUCUUCUCUUUCUUCUGCGUCUUUCGCCAUUAAAGAUACUGAUCUGAUGUAUAUAUAUUCUCCCACGAUUUAGCGAUUAUGAAGCCAGAGAGAGAUAGAGAGAGUCUGGGUUCGAUAAAAUUGACGGAGAGGGAGAAAGAAAGAGUCUAGGUUAAACCUAAGGGAUGAACCGAGAUGAACAAGUGGCCAAGAGGAAACCAUAACGAUCUUGAUUUAUAGGGUGCAAAGAGAAGCUGGUUUUGUCUUGGAACGGAUUCUUGAAUUGUAGAAACUUCAGCUCAAGGAAGAGAAUGUAAGAUUCUUGGUUUGUCUUUGUACAUACAGGCAGAGAAAAUACAAUGACUGUCGUGUUUUUUGGUAACCUAAUCGUCAUUGUCUUUCUCCUUUAAUUUUUUGGAUUUUGGUUUGUAAUGCUUAUGGUUUUCAGGAGAAGCCUAAGAGAUGACAAUCGCUACUUAUGUUGGUUUUUUGUGGGUUUGGAACAUUAGUAGAAAAUAAACUUUGUUGGUGUUUUUGGGUUUGUAACAUUAGUAGAAAAUAAAAUUUGUUGGUGUUUUCUGGGUCUGGAAUGGUUAUGUUUUCUCAGGUUGAACAUGUGGUAAGAAAAGAGACGACAUUGGCUACUUAUGAACUCAUUGGUAUAUAUUGUGAACUUCUUGUUGCUCGUUUGGUGUGAUUGGCUCUCAAAAGUAAGUAAAAAUCUAAACUCAGGCAAGUCUCUUUGAAGAACCUUUGUACACACUCGUUUGUUUUUGUUUAUUUGUGUUGAUCAUUGUUUGUGAUUUUACUUCAAAACAUGCUUUAAUGAUCUUAAGGUUAAGAGAUGUUAAAGAACUCUUUCAGAUAUUGUUAAGUAUUUUUCAGCAAAGUAUGAAAUUUUUUUGUUUUGUUUCAGCUGCUAAGGUUUGCAACCAGAUUCUGGUGUGAGUUGAUUGAUUUUCAGAUAAAUGGAGACUCUCUUUUUUGGAAUGACAACAAAGACUCGGAGGCUACCAAAACAGAGGAGAUUAAUUUGGGAAUGUGAAGUUAGUUUUAUUUUAUUUUGAGACUGACACUUUGUUAUGUAAGACUUGUGUUAUGUAAGACUUCUUUUAGUUAAUACAAUAUUUAAUGUUAUGUA